GAAGCGCGAGCAACGACGACGUCAUCCAAAAACAUGGCAGACAUUGGAUGAAUUUAAAAUAUCUUCAGCUGUGAGUGAUGAAGAAAAACAAAUCGGCCUCGGAGACAAUUAUUUGAAUAGUUCAAUUGAUAUUUUACGCACAAAAGUGAUGACCAAAAUGUCUUAUUAGGAAUUUCCAAAUCUGCCUUCUCCAUGUGGCCUUGUAUGGAAAUGGUAUUUUUGGACCGGGCGUCAGAUAAACUGCAGUACCGAAGCAAAACUAUAGGACCGGAACCCUGGCCCCUUACCAUAGGAAUGCAAGACAGGGGAAAACAACAGCAAGCCCAAAAUUCUCCGCUGGAGUCCUGUAAUUGCACCGGGGGGAGAGCUGUGAUGGCAUCUGUUGUGGGAUCUUCUAGCUUUGAUGGAAGAUUGGAGGAGGGAACAAACGGGAGUACAGUAGUUAUCCAGCCUGCUGACUAAGAAAUGUUCAAACCCAUUCAACAGACACCUCCCUCCCUUGGUGAACAAUGCAACGUUUCUCCCAUUUCUCUCUUGCUCAUUCUCCAUGUCCCUCACUCAAACACGUGUGCAGUUGCAAAGAAGAGGAAGAGAUUUGACAAAAACACAGUUUUCUAACAAUGUUUGUUGAAGGAAUGAUAAGACAAGACAACUUUUAAAAAUAUAUAAUUUUAUUGUCUAUUUAUUGCCUCUUUACACAUACUACAUUGCUGUUACUUUUCUUUUAAGAAAAAAACCUCUGUCCGCAUCAAUCUCCUCAGGAUUAUGGACGGUGCUGAUUAUAAAAAUGUUGUUUGAAUAUUACCACAUUUAUUAGGAUUAAGCAAAACUUUACCGUUUAGAGAUGAAUAAAUAAAAAAAUGUCAUUAUCCAA